UACGGGGGGGGCAAGCGUUGUUCGGAAUUACUGGGCGUAAAGGGCGCGUAGGCGGUCCUGUAAGUCUUGUGUGAAAUCCCUCGGCUUAACUGAGGAACUGCACGAGAUACUGCGAGACUUGAGUUCGGGAGAGGAAAGCGGAAUUCCGGGUGUAGCGGUGAAAUGCGUAGAUAUCCGGAGGAACACCUGUGGCGAAGGCGGCUUCCUGGUCGGACACUGACGCUGAGUCGCGAAAGCGAGGGGAGCAAACAGG
rnacentral:rRNA from 1 species